rnacentral:rRNA from 1 species
UACGUAGGUGGCGAGCGUUGUCCGGAUUUACUGGGCGUAAAGCGCGCGUAGGCGGCUUGCUAAGUCCUGUCGUGAAAGGUCGCGGCCCAACUGCGACAGUGCGCGGGAUACUGGUGAGCUUGAGGGCAGCAGAGGCCGGUGGAAUUCCCGGUGGAGUGGUGAAAUGCGUAGAUAUCGGGAGGAACACCAGAGGCGAAGGCGGCCGGCUGGGCUGUACCUGACGCUGAGGCGCGAAAGCGUGGGGAGCGAACAGG